rnacentral:lncRNA from 1 species
GGAUAAAAUAAAAAGGUUUUGAUUACAGAGAUUAGUAGUUAAUUACUUAAUUAGUAAAUAUUAGAAGUAGCCGUUAAUAAUAUGUCAUCAGAAUCGAAGCAGACUCUGGAGUUGUCCAUAUUCCUAAUUGCAACACCGUGAGUAAUCAAACACGCGCUCAUGUCUUCUCUGGUUGAGUGACUGAGUGUUACAUACUUUGACACGCGCUAGAUUCUGUCGCGUGUAUUUAAGUUAUCGCCGACGAAUGCGUAGGUUAGAGAAGCAUACAUGCGCAAGGUAAUAAAACUAGAAGAAGAAAAAAAAAA